rnacentral:rRNA from 1 species
AGAGUUUGAUCCUGGCUCAGGAUGAACGCUGGCGGCGUGGAUAAGGCAUGCAAGUCAAACGGACCCACAUUAGCGGAGAUUGCGAUUACAUCAAGAUCAAAGCCGAUGUGAAGUUAGUGGCAGACGAGUUAGUAACACGUAGGAAUCUCCUCUCAAGUCGGGAAUAACUAGCCGAAAGGUUGGCUAAUACCCGAUAGUCUCCUCGGAGUAAAGAAGCAAUUCGCUUGAGAAAGAGCCUGCGGGCUAUCAGCUAGUUGGUAGGGUAAUGGCCUACCAAGGCGAUGACGGCUAGGGGCGCUGAGAGGCGGACCCCCAACGAUGGGACUGAGACACGGCCCAUACACCUACGGGUGGCUGCAGUCAAGAACCUUCCACAAUGGACGAAAGUCUGAUGGAGCGACGCCGCGUGAUGGAUGAAGUCCCUCUGGGACGUAAACAUCUUUUGUCGAGGAGAAAGUUUUGAUAGUACUCGAAGAAUAAGGGGUUGCUAAACUCGUGCCAGCAGCCGCGGUAAUAC